rnacentral:rRNA from 1 species
UACGAAGGGGGCUAGCGUUGUUCGGAAUUACUGGGCGUAAAGCGCGCGCAGGCGGUCCUUCAAGUCAGAGGUGAAAGCCCAGAGCUCAACUCUGGAAUGGCCUUUGAGACUAGAGGACUUGGGUACGGGAGAGGUGAGUGGAAUUCCGAGUGUAGAGGUGAAAUUCGUAGAUAUUCGGAAGACCACCAGUGGCGAAGGCGGCUCACUGGCCCGUUACCGACGCUCAGGCGCGACAGCGUGGGGAGCAAACAGG